rnacentral:misc_RNA from 1 species
GAUUGCCACUGCUUGGCUGAACCGAGCUCUAAAGAGACCUGCAAUGGGAAGUACCCGUCACCAUUUAAUAAGGAGCAAGAGGUUGAUGAUUGUAAGAGCCCUCCAGACCAGGACACGUUAUAUGCUUCUGCUUGUUGCAAUGGAAAGGUAUCCUCAUCACCUCCGGAAUGGUUGGACCCAUCUUUGCAGCUGCAUGUUCCACUGGUUGAUGUGGAUAAGGUUCGUUGUAUCAUCAGAAACAUUGUAAGAGAUUGGGCCAACGAGGGUCAAAAAGAACGUGAUCAGUGUUAUAGGCCCAUUCUGGAAGAGCUUGAACGCCUAUUUCCUAAUCGAUCUAAUGAAAAUCCUCCAGCCUGUUUGGUUCCUGGCGCUGGACUUGGA